GAAAAAAAGUGAUACUUCUAAGCCGAAUUUCGAAAAUCGGUCUAUUCCAAACGAAAGAGCAUACUUUUUUGAUACUUCUAAGCCGAAUUUCGAAAAUCGAUCUAUUCCAAACGAAAGAGCAUACUUUUUUCUACUUCUAAGCCGAAUUUCGAAAAUCGAUCUAUUCCAAACGAAAGAGCAUACUUUUUUCUAUACGAAAGAGCAUACUUUUUUCUAUAUAAUGAAUAUUCUUUAGAGAUUUUUUCUAAAUAUUUAAAAUUUUAUGAGGAAUAUAGUCAAAAUUUUAGUAUCGUUCGUUAUCGAAUUUUCACGGUUUUUUCAAUACUAAAUUGAAAAAAAGUGAUACUUCUAAGCCGAAUUUCGAACAUCGGUCAAUUUCAAACGAAAGAGCAUACUUUUUUCUAUAUAGUGGCAUAUUCUUUAGAGAUUUUUUCUAAAUAGUUAAAAUUUUAUGAGGAAUAUAGACAAAAUAUUAGUAUCGU